GAUGAACGCUAGCUACAGGCUUAACACAUGCAAGUCGAGGGGCAGCAUUGGAGUAGCAAUACUUCAGAUGGCGACCGGCGCACGGGUGAGUAACACGUAUCCAACNUGCCGCUUACUCGGGGAUAGCCUUUCGAAAGAAAGAUUAAUACCCGAUGGUAUAAAGAGUUCGCAUGUUCUCUUUAUUAAAGAAUUUCGGUAAGCGAUGGGGAUGCGUUCCAUUAGAUAGUUGGCGGGGUAACGGCCCACCAAGUCUACGAUGGAUAGGGGUUCUGAGAGGAAGGUCCCCCACAUUGGAACUGAGACACGGUCCAAACUCCUACGGGAGGCAGCAGUGAGGAAUAUUGGUCAAUGGACGAGAGUCUGAACCAGCCAAGUAGCGUGAAGGAUGACUGCCCUAUGGGUUGUAAACUUCUUUAUAAGGGAAUAAAGUGAGGGACGUGUCCCUUUUUGUAUGUACCUUAUGAAUAAGGAUCGGCUAACUCCGUGCCAGCAGCCGCGGUAAUACGGAGGAUCCAAGCGUUAUCCGGAUUUAUUGGGUUUAAAGGGAGCGUAGGUUGACAUAUAAGUCAGCUGUGAAAGUUUACGGCUCAACCGUGAAAUUGCAGUUGAUACUGUAUGUCUUGAGUGUACAAGAGGUGGGCGGAAUUCGUGGUGUAGCGGUGAAAUGCUUAGAUAUCACGAAGAACUCCAAUUGCGAAGGCAGCUCACUGGGGUACAACUGACACUGAGGCUCGAAAGUGUGGGUAUCAAACAGGAUUAGAUACCCUGGUAGUCCACACAGUAAACGAUGAAUACUCGCUGUUUGCGAUAUACAGUAAGCGGCCAAGCGAAAGCAUUAAGUAUUCCACCUGGG
rnacentral:rRNA from 1 species